CAUCCAUCUCCUUUUUGCCUUCUGCCAUGAUUGUGAGGCCUCCCCACCCACAUGGAGCUAGGAAGAACAUUCUAUUCAUUCUUCCCUACUGCCUCAUUCACAAAAGAGGGAAAAGGCCAUCACAUGCACCAGAAGAAAACACUGCAACAGAAGUUUGAAAACAAACUCCAGAGGAACGGGAACAACUCUCAUGUAGUUCAUCUGGGGCCAAGUGUAGGGAUUUGUGUCUAGUGAGAAGACUGAGCAACACUGUCUAGAAACAUGGAUUGCUUGAUGGUGUUUCUUAAAUUUCCAGAUAUUUUGACAAUCUUUCACGAGUGGCACAUCCACCGCAAGUGUAUUAUUCAAGCAUAUAGUCAUACAUGGACAAAGAAUUUCUAUUAAUUAGGAAUUACACUCAUGUGCUCUGCUGAUUAAGAGCAAGACCAGCACCUCUCCAAGUGUGUCUUCCAAGCGUCCCCCGAAGACAGAAUAAAAUUAAAUUAAACAGAAGCACCUCAAGAAGCAAGAUAUAAAAACAUGAGUUUGUGUUAAAUCUCUUGUUUUAUAUCAAUCAAGCAUGAACACUUCUGCUCUACAUACACUCAAGUGUACAAACACACCACAUGCUUUCUUCCCACAUCUACAUAGAAGACUGAUGACCAGUGACAAGCACUGCAUUUAAAUCUCUUGUUUUAUAUCAAUCAUGCAUGAACACUCCUGCUCUACUUACACUCAAGUGUACAAAAACACCGCAUGCUUUCUUCCAAUGUCUACAAAGAAGACUGAUGACCAGUGACAAACACUGCAUUCAUGCUUUGUGUUCCUCUAUUUCUGGACACGAGGUAGCCGAGACAGGGAUGUUUGAAGGCAAAUAUAGGAAAAUACAUAAAUAUAUUUAAAUUUAUCAAUCAGUAAUUUUGCACACUUUAUGGCUA
rnacentral:lncRNA from 10 species